UACGUAGGUGGCAAGCGUUGUUCGGAAUUAUUGGGCGUAAAGGGCGCGUAGGCGGUUUGUUAAGUCGGUCGUGAAAGCCCGGGGCUCAACCCCGGAGGGUCGACCGAUACUGGCAGGCUAGAGUACAGAAGAGGUAACUGGAAUUCCCGGUGUAGCGGUGAAAUGCGUAGAUAUCAGGAGGAACACCGAUGGCGAAGGCAGGUCUCUGGGCCACUACUGACGCUGAGAAGCGAAAGCAUGGGGAGCGAACAGG
rnacentral:rRNA from 1 species